rnacentral:tRNA from 1 species
GCGGGCGUGGCGGAACCGGCAGACGCGCAGGACUUAGGAUCCUGUGGGCUCUCACCCGUGUGGGUUCAAGUCCCACCGCCCGCACCA